AUUCACCUGAUGAGUCCCAAAUAGGACGAAAUGUGCACUGUCUUGUAU
rnacentral:hammerhead_ribozyme from 1 species